UAACGCGUGAGGAACCUGCCUCAAAGAGGGGACAACAGUUGGAAACGACUGCUAAUACCGCAUAAGCCCACAGCUCGGCAUCGAGCAGAGGGAAAAGGAGUGAUCCGCUUUGAGAUGGCCUCGCGUCCGAUUAGCUAGUUGGUGAGGUAAUGGCCCACCAAGGCGACGAUCGGUAGCCGGACUGAGAGGUUGAACGGCCACAUUGGGACUGAGACACGGCCCAG
rnacentral:rRNA from 1 species